AUUGCGGAUAAGGAGCCCAUUUUGCGCCACAACUCCUUUGCUUGCAGCAUGAGAGCUCCAUCCAUGGCUAGCGAAGAAGCCACCUCUUUAGACCAUCAGCACAUGGCCGUGCUCUCACUCGCGUUGGCAUGGAUGCGCUCUCUAACAGAUCAAACAAAGGCGGCACCGAGCUAUCAGAUUGUUCUAAUCCUGGCUGUGGUGUUGUUGACUCAAUCACAACGAAUCCAGAGUUCUCAGAACUGCAAUCUGGAAGAUCGGCACCGAAGUGGAAAAAGUAGUACAUUUUGAUUUAUUUUCUACUGGGAUUGUUUAACUAUUGUUAGAAGUAAUUUUUCUGUGCUGUACGAUGGUGAUAAUGGCAUACUAUCUGAACUGUCAAGUGUCAUUUUGUUGUUAA